GACGAACGCUGGCGGCGUGCUUAACACAUGCAAGUCGAACGGAAAGGCCCUGCUUGCAGGGUGCUCGAGUGGCGAACGGGUGAGUAACACGUGGGUGAUCUGCCCCUUACUUUGGGAUAAGCCUGGGAAACUGGGUCUAAUACUGGAGAGGAACAUGCUGUAGGUGGUGUGGUGGAAAGAUUAGUUUCGGUAAGGGAUGAGCUCGCGGCCUAUCAGCUUGUUGGUGGGGUAAUGGCCUACCAAGGCGUCGACGGGUAGCCGGCCUGAGAGGGUGGACGGCCACAUUGGGACUGAGAUACGGCCCAGACUCCUACGGGAGGCAGCAGUGGGGAAUAUUGCACAAUGGGCGCAAGCCUGAUGCAGCGACGCCGCGUGGGGGAUGACGGCCUUCGGGUUGUAAACUCCUUUCAGCCAUGACGAAGCCCUUGUGGUGACGGUAGUGGUAGAAGAAGCACCGGCUAACUACGUG
rnacentral:rRNA from 1 species